AAAAUUCCAGCAUUGGCCAUAUUUCUGAGAAAGUUGGACAAUUAAGGCAUGAUAGCUGUUGUUUGUAGACCCAACUGUUAGCUUGGUCAGUAAGUUUUUCUCUAUAGUCUACACAUUGUUGAUCAAGGUUUAAUUUUUAGAGCCAAAUCAUAAUGAGAGAUUUUAUUUCCCUGUGAAUUCCCUAUUUCUAGCGUGGAUGGUUUGCCUUUGACUAGAUUGGGGAAAUAGACCUGAUAAAGUACGCCAAAGCUGAACAUAAUACCCUCUGACUGUAGUAUUGAAAAAAAUGUGGUUAAACUUGUGAAGGAUAAAGGCAGAUAUUGUAUGGAUGCUCUCUGGACCCAGUUCCAAGUAAUAAUUUUCUUUGUAUUUGAUGUGUGUCUUUUAUCAUAGGUCAAAAGGUAAUUCCUUUUUGGGUCAAUAAUUACUGGCUAUAUGCAUAUAGUAGGAUAUGAACUCCUUUGUUGAAAUGCUGCAUUGGUCUUCGCAAAGGUUUAAUUUCUUCUAUUUCCCAGCCCUUCCCACAUAAAAUG
rnacentral:misc_RNA from 1 species